CAAUCGCUCAUGUGCAACCACCGUAUUUCGCAGACACAAGUUCUCGCGACGAAUUUUGCCGUCGUGGAAUCAGGCCUUAAGGUCCAGACACACCGGACGCGAUUCGACAACGCGACGCGAUUUUUCAGUUAGUUUGAAAAACAGCCAAUGAGAGCAAAUCAGUUAGAAACAUAUGUAGACCAAGUAACUUAAAAUGUUAUAGCGCAUCUAAAUAUUUGGAAAAUUUAAACUUGGAUCAAAGUUAUCGGUCAGUGAAAAUCGAAAAAUCGCGUCGCGUUGUCGAAUCGCGUCCGGCGUGUCUGGACCUUUAAUGCGCAGAUACAUGUACGCGGUCGCGUACCUAUUUUUCA